ensembl:lncRNA
UUCAAUUUCAUGCCCAUCCAAAAGUUUGAGAGCAGAAUGAAGAUCUCUAAAAGUCCAUUUCCUUUGCACACUUUCUCUAGAAGCUAUAGGAGGAUGUGCUCCACCAAAACAAGGAUGUAAGGCAAGAAAAAGGAAGACCUGGGACCCAAGAAACAGAGACAAGGAGAGUCUCCAGGAUGGAGAAAGGAGACUUCAAGGUGACAGCAGUACCUAGAGAACAUGCCUGGGAUGGAAGAGGUCCAUAAUGAGAGAAUAGGAUCCACCCCACACAUCUUCACUGUCGGACCCAGGUUAUCAGAAACACUGCUGUGCACUAUAGCAGACAGAAAGAGAGCUCUGGAGAGUCUUACAUCAGUCAAGUGCCAUGGCCCAGAGAUGAUACGUAUCACCUCUGCUUCCAUCUCAGUGGCCAGCAUCAUGCAUAUCAUCUAUCCAAUAAGGAUUACACCAACAUGGACAGACAAGACUCCAGUGGAUGCCUGAAACUGUGGAUAGUAACAAACCCUGUGUUUUUCCCAUCUGUAUGUUUUUCCCACAACUGAGAUGGCUACUAACUGGCUAACAAGUGAGAGCAUCUAAAGCAUGGAGACACUGGACAAAAAGAGGAUUCAUGUUCCUGGUGGAAAAGAGGGGGAAGGUUGGAGACUUCAUCAUGAUACGCAGAAUGGCUCACAAUUUAAAACUUAUGAAGUGUUUAUUUCUGGGGUUUUCCAUUUAAUAUUUUUAGACCUCAGUUGACUGCCAUUUAUUAUGGGUAACAGAGCCAUGGUAAAUGAACCCUCAGAAAAGGGGACUACUGUGCAGGGUUGUUAGCAUCUAGAGUGGGGAAUUGCUGGAAAUGCUUGAUGAACAGCAUGAAUGGCGAUCACAUGCCCUCAACCAAAACGAUAGAGACAUCUUUUCUAUCUUACAAAGAAGGCCGUUUGCGUCUUCUCCCACAUUACCUAAUAAAUCCGCAUAGUACCUCAAAACCUUGGAUUAGGUAUAUUUUUCUCAAAUGUUAAGGCUCAGCAAUAAAUCCAUUAGUUUUCUAUUGCUGCAUUAAAAAAUACCCCAAACUUAGUGACUUUAAACAGCAUACGUCUAUUAUUGAAGAGCUUCCCUGGCUGGGAAGUCUGGAUAUGGGCUAGGUGGGUGGUCUGCUCGGGGUCUCACCCAGCUGGAAUCAAGGGUCAGCCAGGGCUGCAAGUCCCUCAGAGGCCUCACAUCCUCUGCUAGAAUCACUGGUCCUUGGCAGAAUUCAGUUGCUUUGGGUUAUUGGAGUGAAGUCCCAGCUUCUUGCUGGUCAUUCUUUGGGGACUAUUCUGGGUUUUGGGGUGCCCUUGGAUUUUUGCCACACACAAAUAUGUUAGCAGUUCACAACACAGCUGUCUGCCUUUCCAAGAUGAGCAGAAGAAAUCUCUCCCACUUCAAAUAUUUGAACUCUUGUAAGGGCUUCCUGAUAGGAGCGGGCCUACCCAGCAUAAUCUGUCUUUUGAUUAACUCAAAGUCAACUACUUAGGGCUCUAAAUUAUAUCUGUUUAUACCUUCUGCCAUACCUCAUAACAUAUCGAUAUAGAGAGUGAUAUCCCAUUAUAUCCGUAGGUGCCUUUGCACUCAAGAGGAAGGAAUUAUUCAGGGCAUAUACACCAGGGAGCAGGAAUCUUGAGGGCCAUCUUACUAAUUUCGCCAACACAGAGACACAAGGGCCACAUGCAAUUAGAAGCUGAUUGAAAGCUAAUUGAUUUGCUGUGUUUGGGACUGUCUUAUUAGCUGGCUUCAUAGAAUAACUUGUUGGAGUGUUCAAUGAAUUAACAAUUAAAAGACACACACACACACACACAGAGAGAGAGAGAGAGAGAGAGAGAGAGAGAGAGAGAGAGAGAAAGCUGAUAUGAAAUGAUUUGAUUUGGUGCUGCAGGUAGAGAGGGCCAUGAGGGGAGUGAGGAGCCAGGUGUGAAUCAGAUCAUCUUCCCAAGUGCCAAAUUUCCAGUGUAUACCCAAGCGUCACUCUGUCUCUUCAGCAAUGAUAUGUGUGGCAUUCUUAGUUGGCUCUUGAUAGAAUAUUUGAUUGUAUCUCCCUUUUGAUUUCUUUUUAAGGUUUACUUCUGAAAACAACACUACUCUUUUUGCAUGAUUCUUUUCUUUUCUGGAGUGAACAUUUGUUGUUCUGCUUCUUGCCCAACUGCUUAAGAUGGCUCAUUAUUCUAUAAUAUGUGCAGUAUUGCCCAGAAGUAAUUUUCCUUUUAUUUUUGCCCACAAGGUGGAAAAUUAAAGAUGAAAUACAACUUUAUUUUUGCUUUUCCCAGAAGAGUUGACAAGGUAGUUUUUUUCUGCCUGUUUUUCUAUUAGCAGUGAAAUAUUAUUUUGGCUAUAACAGUUGACUAAUUCAUCCUAUCUUGGCAAAAGUUUUAUGUAGAGAGCCUCCUGCCCUUGUUUAUGCCCCAGAGGCCCAUCCCAGGAGGAUGGAGGGGGAUUUCUACCUGGUUUCCUGCCCCUUAACCAUGCUCAGGUAUGUCUCUGCAUGUCCUUCUUCUUUCUCUAAUUGG